UACGUGAGGGGGCAAGCGUUGUCCGGAAUCAUUGGGCGUAAAGAGCGUGUAGGCGGCUCGGUAAGUCUGUUGUGAAAGUCCAGGGGCUCAACCCUGGAAUGCCGAUGGAUACUGCCGGGCUAGAGUUCGGAAGAGGCGAGUGGAAUUCCUGGUGUAGCGGUGGAAUGCGCAGAUAUCAGGAGGAACACCUAUAGCGAAGGCAGCUCGCUGGGACGACACUGACGCUGAGACGCGAAAGCGUGGGGAGCGAACAGG
rnacentral:rRNA from 1 species